rnacentral:rRNA from 1 species
UACGUAGGUGGCAAGCGUUUGUCCGGAUUUACUGGGCGUAAAGAGCGCGCAGGCGGUCGUUCAAGUCGCGUGUGAAAGCCCCCGGCUCAACUGGGGAGGGUCACGCGAUACUGACCGACUCGAAGGCAGGAGGGGGUAGUGGAAUUCCCGGUGUAGUGGUGAAAUGCGUAGAUAUCGGGAGGAACACCAGUGGCGAAGGCGACUACCUGGCCUGUUCUUGACGCUGAGGCGCGAAAGCUAGGGGAGCAAACGGG